GAUGAAGAACGUAGCGAAAUGCGAUAAGUAAUGUGAAUUGCAGAAUUCAGUGAAUCAUCGAAUCUUUGAACGCACAUUGCGCCCGCCAGUAUUCUGGCGGGCAUGCCUGUUCGAGCGUCAUUACAACCCUCAGGCCCCCGGGCCUGGCGUUGGGGAUCGGCGGAGCCCCCCGUGGGCACACGCCGUCCCCCAAAUACAGUGGCGGUCCCGCCGCAGCUUCCAUCGCGUAGUAGCUAACACCUCGCGACUGGAGAGCGGCGCGGCCACGCCGUAAAACACCCAACUCUUCUGACGUUGACCUCGAAUCAGGUAGGAAUACCCGCUGAACUUAAGCAUAUCAAUAAGCGGAGGA
rnacentral:misc_RNA from 1 species